GGAUCAGAUCAAGCGCGAAAAGGGCGUUUGGUGGAUGCCUUGGCAGUAAGAGGCGAUGAAGGACGUGAUACUCUGCGAUAAGCUAUGGUAAGCCGAGAAUAGGCUUUGACCCAUAGAUCUCCGAAUGGGGCAACCC
rnacentral:rRNA from 1 species